GUACAAGGCCCACCAAGGCGAAGAUCGGUAUCCGGCCUGAGAGGGCGCACGGACACACUGGAACUGAAACACGGUCCAGACUCCUACGGGAGGCAGCAGUGGGGAAUUUUGCGCAAUGGGGGAAACCCUGACGCAGCAACGCCGCGUGCGGGAUGAAGGCCUUCGGGUUGUAAACCGCUUUCAGCAGGGACGAAAAUGACGGUACCUGCAGAAGAAGCCCCGGCUAACUACGUGCCAGCAGCCGCGGUAAUACGUAGGGUGCGAGCGUUAAUCGGAAUUACUGGGCGUAAAGCGUGCGCAGGCGGUCUCGUAAGCUGGGUGUGAAAGCCCCGGGCUUAACCUGGGAAUGGCAUUCAGGACUGCGAGGCUCGAGUGUGGCAGAGGGAGGUGGAAUUCCACGUGUAGCAGUGAAAUGCGUAGAGAUGUGGAGGAACACCGAUGGCGAAGGCAGCCUCCUGGGCCAGCACUGACGCUCAUGCACGAAAGCGUGGGGAGCAAACAGGAUUAGAUACCCUGGUAGUCCACGCCCUAAACGAUGUCAACUGGUUGUUGGUGGGGUUAAACCCAUUAGUAACGAAGCUAACGCGUGAAGUUGACCGCCUGGGGAGUACGGCCGCAAGGUUAAAACUCAAAGGAAUUGACGGGGACCCGCACAAGCGGUGGAUGAUGUGGAUUAAUUCGAUGCAACGCGAAGAACCUUACCUACCCUUGACAUGCCAGGGAGCCCGCUGAGAGGUGGGUGUGCCCGAAAGGGAGCCUGGACACAGGUGCUGCAUGGCUGUCGUCAGCUCGUGUCGUGAGAUGUUGGGUUAAGUCCCGCAACGAGCGCAACCCUUGUCACUAGUUGCUACGCAAGGGCACUCUAGUGAGACUGCCGGUGACAAACCGGAGGAAGGUGGGGAUGACGUCAAGUCCUCAUGGCCCUUAUGGGUAGGGCUUCACACGUCAUACAAUGGCGCAUACAGAGGGCUGCCAACCCGCGAGGGGGAGCCAAUCCCAGAAAGUGCGUCGUAGUCCGGAUUGCAGUCUGCAACUCGACUGCAUGAAGUCGGAAUCGCUAGUAAUCGCGGAUCAGCAAUGUCGCGG
rnacentral:rRNA from 1 species